rnacentral:rRNA from 1 species
UACAGAGGGUGCAAGCGUUAAUCGGAAUUACUGGGCGUAAAGCGUGCGUAGACGGUUACAUAAGUCAGAUGUGAAGCCCCGGGCUCAACCUGGGAAUUGCAUUUGAGACUGUGUAGCUAGGGUGCGGAAGAGGGAAGCGGAAUUUCCGGUGUAGCGGUGGAAAUGCGUAGAUAUCGGAAGGAACACCAGUGGCGAAAGCGGCUUCCUGGUCCAGCACCGGACGUUCAGGCACGAAAGCGUGGGGAGCAAACAGGAAUAGAUAC